rnacentral:rRNA from 1 species
UACGGAGGGUGCGAGCGUUUGUCCGGAAUCACUGGGCGUAAAGGGCGCGUAGGUGGCGCGGCAAGUCAACGGUGAAAGCUCGACGCUCAACGUCGAGUCGGCCGUCGAUACUGCUGGGCUUGAGCACUGUAGAGGGCAGAUGGAAUUCCGGGUGUAGCGGUGGAAUGCGCAGAUAUCAGGAGGAACACCGAUGGCGAAGGCAGAUCUCUGGG